rnacentral:sRNA from 1 species
AUGCACCACUCGUACAUUGCGGUUCUGAGCGCGCCGUCCUCGCUCACCUGACGGCUGCUCGCUACGUUUUGUUAGCC